rnacentral:rRNA from 1 species
UACGUAGGGUGCGAGCGUUAAUCGGAAUUACUGGGCGUAAAGCGUGCGCAGGCGGCGGCUCAAGUCAGGUGUGAAAUCCCCGGGCUUAACCUGGGAAUUGCGCUUGAAACUAGGUCGCUAGAGUGUGGCAGAGGGGGGUGGAAUUCCACGGUGUAGCAGUGAAAUGCGUAGAGAUGUGGAGGAACACCGAUGGCGAAGGCAGCCCCCUGGGUCAACACUGACGCUCAUGCACGAAAGCGUGGGGAGCAACAGG